GACCGGGCCUAAGUUCCCU
rnacentral:snRNA from 1 species